UACGUAGGGGCCUAGCGUUGUCCGGAAUUAUUGGGCGUAAAGAGCUCGUAGGCGGUUCGGCAAGUCGGAUGUGAAAUCUCCACGCUCAACGUGGAGGGGCCAUUCGAAACUGCCGUGACUCGAGUCCGGUAGGGGAGUGUGGAAUUCCCGGUGUAGCGGUGAAAUGCGCAGAUAUCGGGAGGAACACCAGUAGCGAAGGCGGCACUCUGGGCCGGUACUGACGCUGAGGGGCGAAAGCGUGGGGAGCGAACAGG
rnacentral:rRNA from 1 species